rnacentral:rRNA from 1 species
UACGGAGGGAGCUAGCGUUGUUCGGAAUUACUGGGCGUAAAGCGCGCGUAGGCGGCUUUGUAAGUUAGAGGUGAAAGCCCGGGGCUCAACCCCGGAAUUGCCUUUAAGACUGCAUCGCUUGAAUCCGGGAGAGGUGAGUGGAAUUCCGAGUGUAGAGGUGAAAUUCGUAGAUAUUCGGAAGAACACCAGUGGCGAAGCGGCCGCCUGGGCCUUUGCUGACGCUGAGCCGCGAAAGCGUGGGGAGCGAGCCGG